GACGAACGCUGGCGGCGUGCUUAACACAUGCAAGUCGAACGGAAAGGCCCUGCUUUUGUGGGGUGCUCGAGUGGCGAACGGGUGAGUAACACGUGAGUAACCUGCCCUUGACUUUGGGAUAACUUCAGGAAACUGGGGCUAAUACCGGAUAGGAGCUCCUGCUGCAUGGUGGGGGUUGGAACGUUUCGGCGGUUGGGGAUGGACUCGCGGCUUAUCAGCUUGUUGGUGGGGUAGUGGCUUACCAAGGCUUUGACGGGUAGCCGGCCUGAGAGGGUGACCGGCCACAUUGGGACUGGGAUACGGCCCAGACUCUUACGGGAGGCAGCAGUGGGGAAUAUUGCACAAUGGGCGGAAGCCUGAUGCAGCAACGCCGGGUGCGGGAUGACGGCCUUCGGGUGGUAAACCGCUUUCGCCUGGGACGAAGCGUGAGUGACGGUAAUGGGUAAAGAAGCACCGGCUAACUACGUG
rnacentral:rRNA from 1 species